AAUGAAGUGCCUGAAAAAGGGUUAUCUUGAUAGGAUAAAUAAUGUAAAAACCUUACCUUCAUUA
rnacentral:tRNA from 1 species